GGUCAGGACGAACGCUGGCGGCGUGCCUAAUACAUGCAAGUCGAACGGUCUUUUCUAUGGAAGCUUGCUUCCACUGAGAAGAUAGUGGCGAACGGGUGAGUAACACGUGGGUAACCUGCCCAUAAGAGGGGGAUAACAUCCGGAAACGGGUGCUAAUACCGCAUAGUUUUUCUUGAUCGCAUGAUCGGGAAAGGAAAGACGGCCUUUGUGCUGUCGCUUAUGGAUGGACCCGCGGCGUAUUAGUUAGUUGGUGAGGUAAUGGCUCACCAAGACGAUGAUACGUAGCCGACCUGAGAGGGUGAUCGGCCACAUUGGGACUGAGACACGGCCCAAACUCCUACGGGAGGCAGCAGUAGGGAAUCUUCCGCAAUGGACGAAAGUCUGACGGAGCAACGCCGCGUGAGUGAAAGAAGGUUUUCGGAUCGUAAAACUCUGUUGUCAGAGAAGAACAAGUUGGAGAGUAACUGCUCCAGCCUUGACGGUAUCUGACCAGAAAGCCACGGCUAACUACGUGCCAGCCGCGGC
rnacentral:rRNA from 1 species